GAUGAACGCUAGCGGCAGGCCUAACACAUGCAAGUCGAGGGAGAAGCCCUUUCGGGGGCAGAAACCGGCGCACGGGUGCGUAACGCGUAUGCAACCUACCUUUCACAGGGGGAUAGCCCGAAGAAAUUUGGAUUAAUACCCCAUAAUAUUAUUGGAUGGCAUCAUUUGAUAAUUAAAACUGCGGUGGUGAAAGGUGGGCAUGCGUCCUAUUAGCUAGUUGGAGUGGUAACGGCACCCCAAGGCUACGAUAGGUAGGGGUCCUGAGAGGGAGAUCCCCCACACUGGUACUGAGACAGGGACCAGACUCCUACGGGAGGCAGCAGUGAGGAAUAUUGGUCAAUGGUCGGAAGACUGAACCAGCCAUGCCGCGUGCAGGAAGAAUGCCUUAUGGGUUGUAAACUGCUUUUAUAUGGGAAGAAUAAGGCGUACGUGUACGUUGAUGACGGUACCAUAUGAAUAAGCAUCGGCUAACUCCGUG
rnacentral:rRNA from 1 species